rnacentral:rRNA from 1 species
GACGAACGCUGGCGGCGUGCCUAAUACAUGCAAGUCGAACGCUUUUUCUUUCACCGGAGCUUGCUCCACCGAAAGAAAAAGAGUGGCGAACGGGUGAGUAACACGUGGGUAACCUGCCCAUCAGAAGGGGAUAACACUUGGAAACAGGUGCUAAUACCGUAUAACACUAUUUUCCGCAUGGAAGAAAGUUGAAAGGCGCUUUUGCGUCACUGAUGGAUGGACCCGGGGUGCAUUAGCUAGUUGGUGAGGUAACGGCUCACCAAGGCAACGAUGCAUAGCCGACCUGAGAGGGUGAUCGGCCACACUGGGACUGAGACACGGCCCAGACUCCUACGGGAGGCAGCAGUAGGGAAUCUUCGGCAAUGGACGAAAGUCUGACCGAGCAACGCCGCGUGAGUGAAGAAGGUUUUCGGAUCGUAAAACUCUGUUGUUAGAGAAGAACAAGGAUGAGAGUAGAACGUUCAUCCCUUGACGGUAUCUAACCAGAAAGCCACGGCUAACUACGUGCCAGCAGCCGCGGUAA